ensembl:lncRNA
UGAUGGACUAAACCCUAUUGAGCAUCUGUGGGGCAUCCUCAAACGGAAGGUGGAGGAGCACAAGGUCUCUAACAUCCACCAGCUCUGUGAUGUCAUUAUGGAGGAGUGGAAGAGGACUCCAGUGGCAACCUGUGAAGCUCUGGUGAACUCCAUGCCCAAGAGGGUUAAGGCAGUGCUGGAAAAUAAUGGUGGCCACACAAAAUAUUGACACUUUGGGCCCAAUUUGGACAUUUUCACUUGGGGUGUACUCACUUUUGUUGCCAGCAGUUUAGAAUGGCUAAUGGCUAAUGGCUGUGUGUUGAGUUAUUUUGAGGGGACAGCAAAUUUACACUGUUACACAUUUCUUACACAUUUCUUCAGUGUUGUCACAUGAAAAUAUAUAAUCAAAUAUUAACUGUCAAAGAGCAUACGAAUGAGUAUAUUGAAGAUCAAGGUAAAUGCUUUGUCAUAGACUGCACUUCUUGAUGUUCAUUGCCAAGCAAUAGGAACCUGUCAUCGGUGACUCGAUAUUAUGCCACUCAGGCGAAUCAUUCACAUCACGAUGACUCCACUUCAUAUCUUUCGGCAGGUGAACAGCCAAAUAGCGGUGAGGUCACAAAGCCAACUGAACAGCAAACCCCUAAAACCCAGAAAAAAACAGUUGCCUCACCCAGCUCAACCAUUCAAUACUCCCCAGCAGCAUUCCGCAUAGAAGGAUUGGAUCUUACAGCAGAUGAGGAACUAGCAAAGUGGCUUGGUAGAGAGUCAUCCGUGUAUGUCAAGAGGAUCAGAUAUGUGCAUAUAAACAAUCCCAAAAUAGCUCUUUAAAUGUUUUGGGACAGACUCAAUCAGUGCUAAGCUGUUCCUGAAAUUGUUGAAAGUUCACUUUUCAGAAAACCUGAUAAUUAUCCAACAAAGAUAAUCUCAGAUUAAGAGAACUCGGAGAACUUCUCAUGAAAUUACAGUCUGCAAAAGAGGAGAAAUACUUACCAGGGUUAGCUUACCUUGAUACUGUCCGGGGCAUCAACCCUAUGGUAGACAAACUGCCACAUAGUCUGCAGGAGAAGUGGAUGUCCAUUGGAACAAGAUACAAAGACGAACACAAUGUUCACUUUCCUCCGUUUUCCCUCUUCACACAAUUUGUAUGCUGUGAAGCCAGGACAUGAAAUGACCCCAGCUUUAUGCUGUCUAACACCAUGGCUCUCAGCUAUGAAAAGCCCUCAUUUAAAAAGACAGCAUUGAAAAGUGUCAUAACUGCUCACAAGACAGAUGUGACUGCUUCACUUGAACCGCAAACUGAGGGAAAGGUAAAGACAAAUGACCUAUAAUAUAAAACUGUCCUGUCUAUAAUAAGCCACAUCCUCUUGCAAAGUGCAGAGGGUUCAGAGCAAAACCCAUAGAAGAACGCAAAACCUACCUCAAAGAAAACAAUGAGUGCUUUAGAUGAUGUGCAUCACCGUCUCACUUAGCCAGAGAUUGUAAAAUGCUGCUGAAAUGCAGGGAGUGUGAUAGUGACCGAUAUGCCACAGCCACAGCACCUUGGAGCUCAAAACCAAAUCAGUCAGCUUGCUCCUGUUCAAUACAAUUCUUGACGAUCAGAGUAAUUGCUCCUUAGCUCGGACAGAAUUCUUUGAUUUGUUCAAAGUUCAAAAUAGCCCAUGUCCUUGUUCACUUAGAACGUGUGCAGGUGUUGUGGAGAUGACAGGCAGAAAGGCACAUGGGUUUCAGAUAGAAGAAGUCAGUGGAGGUGUGAACAUUGAUCUUCCUACCACUUAUUGAAUGCAAUGAAAUCCUUGACAACAGGUCAGAGAUACCAACCCCAGAGGUAGCACUUUGUCACCCUCAUUUAAAACCUGUUGCAAAAUUCAUACCAAAACUAGAUUCCAAUGCUCAAAUCCUGCUUUUGUUGGGGAUAGACCUUAUUAGACCGCACAAGGCCAGGCAGCAAAUCAGCGGUCCUCACAAUUAUUCAUUUUCCCAAAGACUUGACUUAGGAUGGGUCCUAAUUGGAGAAGUCUGCUAUGGUAAUGCUCACAAGUCGAAUGUAAACAGCUUCAGUACAAAUGUGCUAAAAAAAAAUGGCAGACCUUCCUUUCUAACUCCUUGUCCAAGUCACAUUUCCCUGAAAGAGAAGGUAAAUUAUGGCGGGGAGACCAAUAAGCCAAAUUCAAUCACAAGCAUAAGAUUGCUAAUGACCUUGGUCAUACAGUGUUUGAGAGGACUAAAGAUGGCAAAAAAGUGUGCUCUCUCCUUUGAAGGCCUUUCUACAGUUUAUGGAGAAAGACUUUAAUAAAGACAAAAACUCCUGGGUUGUGCCUUUGCCCUUCAAAGCACCUCGACCAGUACUUACAAACAAUCGAGAUCAAGCACUCUCGUGGCUUAUCUCUUUAAAGCGCACUCUUGGUAGAAGGUCUUAGAUGAAGGAACACUUUCAAGGUUUUAUGAGAAAGAUGGUUGAGAAUAAACAUGCUGAACUGGCUCCUCCACUUAAAGAAAAUGAGGAAUGCUUUUAACUACCAAUUUUCAGAGUCUACCAACCACAAUAACCAGUUCAGAUGAUGGUAGUCUUUGAUUCCAGGGCACAAUACUGUGGCAUCUCUUUGAACAACAUCCUCCUCACAGGGCCAGACUUGAACAAUACUCUCUUGGGGGCACUGUUGCAUUUCCAAAAAGACUCAAUAGCAAUAACUGCCAACAUUCAGCAAAUGUUCUAUUGCUUUGUGGUGCAAGAUGAUCACAUGAUGUACUUAAGUUUUUAGUUACACAGAGACAAUGACAUGUUAAAAGAGAUCACUGAGUAUCAGAUGCGUGUCUAUGUCUUUGGAAAUAGUCCUUCCCCUGCUAUCACAAUCUACGGUAUAAGAUGUGCUACACUGGAAAGUGAGCAGGAAUAUGGGUCCGACACUCAUCAGUUUGUUGAGCGACAUUUCCAUGUUCAUGAUGGUCUGAUAUCUUUGGCAAAUGAAGCAGAUGCCAUUAAUCUGCGUAAGCGCACCCAGACCGCUCUCACUCAAUCAAACUUAAAACUCCACAAAAUUGCUUCAAAUUCAGUCACAGUGAUGAAAUCCUUUCCUCCAGAUGAUCUAGCCAAAGGCGUAAAAGACCUGGAUCACACCAAAGAAAGUCUUCAGACUCAGAGCAGUCUUGGAUUGUGUUUGAAUAUGGAUUCAUAUACAUUCACUUUUCAAGUGACAAACACUGAGAAGCCUUUCACUUGUUGGGGAGUUUUUUUGUUGUCAACUGUCUUUUUGACCCUCUGGGUUUAGUAGCAUCAGUCCCACUCUCAACUUCUAAAGAAAAGCAUAGCGAGUUAUAUAUCUUCUCAGAUGCAUCCAACAAAGCCAUAGCUGCAGUAGCAUAUCUUCAAGUCAUUACUGAACAUGGACUUAGUCAAGUUGGAUUUGUCUUUUGCACAGCUAAACUAGCCUCUCAGCCAGAACCCACCAUACCACGUCUUGAAUUGUGUGGAGCUGCAUUAGCUGUAGAUAUGGCAGAACUAAUUCUUGAAGAAAUUGACUUCAAGCCAGAUGCAGUUAAAUUCUACUUUGACAGUAAGGUGGUUCUCGGCUACAUAUUCAAUGAGACCAGACAUUUCUUUGUCUAUGUACACAACAGAGCGCAACAAAUCCAUGUACCAGAACAGUGGCACUUCAUACCAACAGAUCAUAACCCAGCUGAUCUUGCCACCAAGUCAGUGUCACCAUCUCAGCUUGCUAACAAACAAUGGUUUACUGGUCCAGCUUUUCUGCACAAGCCCUUCUCAACUUCCCAAGAAAUUCAAAAGAAUUUUGAGUUGAUCAAACCAGAACUGGGUGCAGAAAUUCAGCUAGAUGUCACAAGUCUUGCAACUCUGACAACAGAAAUGCUUCUUACCUGAGAAUGCUUUAAAUGUUUCUCUUCCUGGAAAGCUCUUCUAAGAGCUGUUGCACUUCUUAUCCACAUAGCUUGUUAAUUCAAAUCAAACUCAAUUGCUCUGGCAAACGAAUGCAAAGGUUGGCACUUGUGCAAAAAAGUCUGAACUCCCAAAGAGUUUUUUGCAGCUAAGCACAUCAUCCUAAAAUGUGUAAAGAAGGAAAUAUACAGUAAUGAACUCAAGGCCUUGGUAGGACAGGAAAACAUACCAAAAUGCAGUUUACUUUGGAAAAUGAACCCUCAGAUUCAAAAUGACCUGUUAAGGAUUGGUGGAUGCCUAGAAAAUGCUCCUUUAAAUCCCAAUGGCCCAUGGACUGUCACCACUCGACACAUGAGAGGAGGUUUGGCAAACAGUAAAUGUUGGGCAAUCCUUUUUACGUGUAUGAGUAUUAUUGCAGUGCAUUUUGAAGUGAUACAAGCCAUGGAUACGUCUAGCUAUAUCAAUGCAUUGCAUUGCUUCUUCACUAUUAGGGGACCAGCAAAAUAGCUCAGAUCCGAUUGUGGAACAAAUUUUGUCAGAGCAUGCAGAGAGCUGGGAUUUGCACUGGACAGCAGUGUUCAAAAGUACCUAAGUGAAUAAGGUUGUUCAUGGCAAUUCAACCCCCCUCACACAUCACACAUGGGAGGUACAUGGAAAUGAAUUAUAUGGAUUGCACGCAAAAUCUUUGAUAGUAUGGUGCUACAAAAUAAAACUAUCAAAUCUAUCUUACCCACAAAGUUCUGUGUACAUUCAUGGCUGAAGUGUCAGCUAUAAUUAAUGCCAGACCAUUGUUUCCAGUCUCAUCUGAUCCAGACAGCAGUACUUCUAACCCCUGACAUUUUGCUCACCAAAAAGUCUGGUUCAACUAUCUCUGUUGCCAAUUUCUCAGUGAAAGAUCUCUAUGGAAGCCAGUGGAGAAGAGUGCAAUCUCUUGCAGAUGAGUUCUGGGCUUGCUGGAAGUGGGAGUACCUUCCCAUCCUGCAACGGAGAUGCAAAUGGGCCACAUUGCAUCCCAAUCUUGAAGUUGGGGCUAUUGUCCUCAUGAAAGAUAUUACUCUUUCUCAUAAUGAGUGGCCUAUGGCAGUGGUUACUGCAACAUUUCCAAGUACAAAUGGAAGGCUGAGGAAAAUAGAGGUUAAAACGACCUCUCAAGGUAUAACCAAAAAGUUCUUAAGACCAAUCUCAGAGGUCAUUCUGCUUCUCUCUAAAAAGGACUGAGAUUUAAUUAGUGACAGUGAUGUUUAUUGACAUAAUAACAAUUGAUAAUAAUUGAUUGUAUUCUGUUGUAUUCUGUUUCACAAAAGUAAAGUUGUGUUGGGUUUAAAGGUCAUCUAGUGGAUAUGUAAGGUAACUGCAAGUAGCUUUAUAACAGGAAGCAGAGAGCUGAGCACAUGAACAGUACAUCUAUUACUUAGAUGAUGUGUUUCUCCUGGAUAAUCCUCGACAAUCCUUGCCGUUGGACGUUUUCAGAAGAGUAAUACCCGUAAUGUUCCUUACUUGUCCUAUUGUAAUACUUUUUAUAUGUAAAUGUGAGAUAUAGUUAAAUAUAAGAUGUCACUUAUAUGUACCAUGUUAUCUUAGUUAGCUAAAACAAGCCUUAGAUAUUGGAAGCUAUAUGUAGUCAAGCGACUAAUUGGACAUGUUUGUAUCUUUUUUUUUUUGUUUCAUGCUGAUUCAUUAUAGGGUUGUAUGAUACAAUAAAUACUGGAAUUUGACACACAUUUCCUGACUCUAUUGUGAAUGGAGUUUAACUUGCUGUCAAUCUUCAUAAAAACAUUACACGUGGAGGGAGGAUAGUAUAAUUCUGCUUGUGCCAACAAGAAAAUGGAUAAGAAAAAAGUGAUAACUGAUAUUAUUUGAGCUAUAGAUGACCAAUAUGCUCUUAAAGCCUGUGGUAUAUUUAGUUUUUUAUGCGUCCACUAGUGUAUGUGCACAGUCGUUCGCAUAGCCUCUCAAAGUAUACUCGUACAUAUAUACUGCAGGCAGUCGACACAUGCAUUAUGACAACUUGCACUACCCCUCCUGGCCUACAAGAGUCAGUACAGAGCAGUAAAGCAGGUAUUUUGGUGUGGUGGACGACAAUGAAGAAGAAUCACAAGAAGACGCAGAACAAUGCUUGGGCAAUCUCUCAGCACGAUUAUACACCAUAUAGAAAUCUUUAUACACCUUAAGGCUAGAAUUAUACAAAUGCGUGUACUUUCUAAUCGGCACUCAUUUCCGUCUCUUCCAUUUAUAUAUUUUUUUCUUUGACUACCUUAAGAAUCAAUGGCCCUGGAUCACUGUUGCCACCUUGUGGAACAACUUAAUAGUGCAAAAGAAUUAAAUGCACGUGUGCAACCUACACCUACAAAGUAUGCACGAUUACAAAAAUUGGGCGACACGCAUACAGUAUGCGCUUACUCUGCGGAUCAUGAAAUUUGUGUCACGCAUACUGUAGGCUGUUCCUAGAGUACGCUUAAAAAGUGAAGAAUACUUUCUGCUUUACCAUUGAGCUGCAUAAACAAAGGCUUAAAUUGCAGACAGAGUUUGAUUUGUUAUCUACAGGUGAGGCGGAAAGGAUUUUGUUACACACACGGCAAUUAUUAUGAAUAUGGGAUUAAGGUUUGUCGGUUGUUGGCCCACCAGCUGCAUAAACACUUCGCACUCUAUUACUUGGAUUAUGCAAUCCACCUCGGAUCCUGUAGAAAUUAAUUCAACUUUUUAAAGUUUUUAGUCCUCUUUAUACAUUGCUGGAGCUCCUGACAAUUUGGGUAAAAUUAACCAUUUUCUUAGAAAUAUUGAUUCUCACAAAGUUGACCCUCUUUUGGUAUCUGAACUUGACAGCCCCAUCACCUUAGAAGAGAUCAUUAACUCAAUUAAUUCAUUGCAAUUUAAGAAAUCACCUGGCCCAGAUGGGUUUCCUUCCAAAUUUUCUAAGAAAUUUCAUGUUACAUUGGCCCCAUUACUUCUGGCUGUAUUCGAGGAAUACUAGUUAUGCUGCCACCAACAUUGAGAUAAGCAUCCAUAACUCUAUUACUUGAAGAUGGGAAGGAUUCAUACAGACCUAUUAGUAAUAGGUAAUUCAUACAGACCUAUUAGCCUCUUCAAUAUUGAUAUCAAGAUUUUAGCAAAACUUUGGGCCUCUCAUUUAGAGGGAAUUCUCCAUAGCAUUAUUUCAGAGGAGCAAACUGGAUUUAUAAAAGGACGGCAUUCCUAUUCUAAUAUUCAUAUUCUUUUUAGUAUUUUAUACUCAAAACAAAACAGCAACUCCUCUGAAGUGGAAAUUUCUUUGGAUGCCGAAAAGCCGUUUGAAAGGAUAGAAUGUGAACAUCUUUUUUAUGGUGCUAAAGGAGUUUGGCUUUUCGGAUGGAUUGAUAUCAUGGAUCUGUUUGUUAUAUGUUGAACCACAAGCUUUCAUAUAUACCAAUGAUGUUAAAUCUGACUAUUUUACUUUGUCAUGUGGUAUGCACCAGGGAUGUCCUCUGUCUCCCUUACUUGUUGCCAUAGCAAUUGAUCCUCUCUCAAUAAUGCUUAGAACUCUUCCUGAAUUUCAGGGUAUAAUCUGCAAGAGAAUUGAACAUAAACUAGCCCUAUAUGCUGACGACUUACUAUUUUAUGUUAUACAUUCAUCCAUCCAUCCAUCCGCUUAUAAUUCCUUCAGGGUCAUGGGGAAACCUGGAGCCUAUACCAGGGAGCAUCGGGCACAAGGCAGGGUACACCCUGGACAGGGUAUGUUAUCGAUCCAAUGAAAUCUAUUCUAGAGAUAAUAAGCCUAUUAGAUGAUUUGGGGAAAUUUUACAGGUAUAAACUGAACCUAAAAAAGAGUAAAUGCUUACCCAUAAACCAAUCUGGCCAAAAAAUUAAACAGACUGACAUACCUUUUCACCUGGAGGCUUCAAAAUUCAAAUAUCGGUGUUAAUGUCAUGGUUCCUAUUCUGCAUUAAUGGCAGCAAACUUUACACCCUUAAUUUCAUACAUGAAGUCAGUUUUUCAAAGAUGAGCAGCUCUUCCCGUCUUAUUAUUUCACAGAUAUAUGCAACGAUCUGGUCAAAGGACAAUUCUCACAAUAUCAAAACCAUUAGUGCUUGGGAAGAGGAAUUAAGCCUAGAGUUUGAGGAUGAUUACUGGGGCAGAGUGUUAGAUAAUACAUGUACCACCAGGUCAUGUGCUAGACUUAGUUUCAUCCAAUGUAAAGUGGUCCAUAGAGCUCAUCUUUCUAAGACUAAACUAUCUAAAAUAUAUUCCAAUGUUCCUGACAUAUGUUAAAAAUUAAAACUUUCGCCCUGUAACCUCAGUCAUAUGUUUGCUCUCUAUACCAAACUGCAGAACUUUUGGAACUCUUUCUUCAAAUCUGUCUCCGAUGUUCUUAAAAUCAUAUUAGAUGUCUGUCAUUUAUUUUCCAUCUUUAGUGUUGAAUCUCAGUGUCAACCUAUGAACCAUAAACAAGCUAGUGUUGUGGCUUUUGCAUCAUUGCAUGCCCAGCGCAGAAUAUUGCUGUCUUGGUCCUCUCCACAACCCCCUUCUAUAUCAGUCUGGCUUAAAGGUUUAAUCUUCUUUUUAAAACUUGAAAAAAUCAAGUAUAACAUAAGAGGCAGGGGUGGAUCAUUUUUUGAAAAAUGCGGCAAUUUAUUGCCUACUUCAAUGAUGUAUGUACCCUGGAGAUGGAUUGAGGGAAGGUAUAAAUACUAAUCUUCUUACUUUAGGUUAUUUUUGUUUUUGUUUCUUUUUCGUUGUGUGUAGUUGAGCCUCAGAUAUCAUUUGGUUUUGGCUGUGAUUAUUGUGUUGGGGCUGGGUAUGGUGGGGUUUGUUGGAUGAGGUGUUAUAAUAUGUAAAAUGUGAUUUUCCAAUAAAAAAUCUAUGGAAAAAAAAAGAAGUGCAGGAGUUACAUAAAGUUUGAUAUUUAGGGCCCUAUCACUACUGGUGUGAGGACCAUUGGAUCUGCUCCAUGUACUAGGGCAUGAGCACCGGAGGUGCAAGGCCCUAUUGUAUCUGCUCCAUUAAUUAGGGCCCGAGCAUUGAUGGUGUGAGGCCCUAUUGGAUCUGCUCCGUUUAUUAGGACCCAAGCACCACUGGUGUGAUGCGCUAUUGGAUCUGCUCUGUUUUCUAUUAUUAUUAUUAUUAUUAUUAUUAUUAUUAUUAUUAUUAUUAUUAUUAUCUUAUAUGAAUCGCAUUUUAGAGGGCCUAAACAUACCCAAAAACUUACAAAACUUUGCAGACAUAUCAGAACUGGUGUAAAUUUAAAUGUGAUGGGGUUUCAGAAUUGAGUAUGGAAAAAAUGGCUCAAAAGUGUCACCUACAAAAUUUCAGCGAUGUGUAGCAUGCCAAUACAUACCAAAAAGUCUCUUGAAGCUGUGCCCUAAACUCAAUAGGAAGUCAGCCAUUUUGAUUUUUCUCUUAAAUUUUUGGUGUGUUUUUGCCAUUUCCAGGCCUCAUACUUUAAUGAAUUCGUCCUAGAGAUUUCAUCAGGUUGACAUCAUAUUUGUUCAAUCUCAUAUAAACAGUGUGACAAUGCUAAAUUGUGAAGCUUUUGAGUGUCCGCUGCACGGUGUGGGCGUGGCGGUCUCACAGAUUUUGAUGUUUUGCUAUGAAAAAGGAAGUUUAUAUAACUCAAACAUACAAUGUCCAAUCUGCUCCAAACUUCACAUGUUUGAUAAAGGUCUGGGCCUGAAGAUAUCUACAUACCAAAUGUAACUGGUUGUAGUCUGCGUUAUGUUUUUAUUUAAUCCAGAAAAAAUGUAGGCGGCUGGCAACUGGGUCGACUCUUUGUUUAUUCUCUCCUCUCUCUCUCCCAUUCAACCAUAACACUAAAGGGAAGAGGAGGAGCCAAAACAGGAAAUUACACAAACCCAUGACAUCACGACAAUUAAAAGGAAAAGCACUCACACAAACAGACAGUCAUCCAGGUACACACAUCUUCUUUUGUGUAAUUCUACAUGUUAAAUUUAUGGAGUAUUUUCCAUACCUAUUACAUUCACCCCCCUAGAAUUACACAAAAUUUAGAGAACACUGGAAAAAAAUUUGUACACAGGUCAUAAGUUUAUGGUCCACACACAAAACAAUCAGUGAAGACAGUCAGCAUUGAAAGCUACCCAAUGAAAGGAUAAAAAUGGUUUGAAAUUGGCCAAAUUUCAACAUUCCAUAGACAUUAUUAAGGUGCCCAUUACACCUCAAACACUUAGACCAAGUACUCAAAUAAGGCAAGUUUUCAGUAGAAAAAACAAAGGAACAAGGCAAGAUUUCAGUAGAAAAAACAAAUGAAGUAGAAAAAACAAAUGCAAGUUUCAAAAACCACAUGUACUUAUAGACAAACUGAAUUCAAACAUGAAUAGCUGGAGACCCAGAAUCAAAACUUAACAGGGUUUCAAGUUGAACCAUACAUUCAAUGAGUCUGCAUACUGGUUUGAUGACUCUCCCAAUCCUGCUAGUGAAAUGAUCACCUGUAUUUAAAUCAGCUAUAGGAUCUUGCCUAAAGGGUACACUGGCAGAGAUAUGAUUUUGGGAUGAAUGGCUAGGACCAGCACCAGCCACAGUAUUAUCAUCAGUCACUGGUGCAGCAACUUGUGCAUUUGGCUGCUCUUGAUUGCCCAACUGAGAAUGCACCCUCGAUGAAGUGGGUGCAUCACAAGUGUCAUCAUGAUUUCCCUCUACAACCCUUGUUAGCCACAAGCACUUGGUCACCAACGGCUAGAGGUAGGCCUUUAACUGUUUUGUUGUGCUGGCUGGACUGGUGUCUUUGCUACACAACAGAAUUCUUUUGUGCUAACGUCAUGGCAGACUGGAGGUGGCUGAUUAACGAUUUCACUUACUCGUUAUAGUCACAAACAGACUUAUCCUGCAAAACACUUUGGAACAUGAAGUCAACUGUCAAUCUUGGAACUCUACCGAACAUUAGGUAAAAAGGGGCAAAACCUGUUGUUUCGUGUGCUGUACAGUUGUACACAAAAGUCAUGGUCUGUACAAACUGACGCCACUUCUGCUUAGACCUAGGUGGAAGGGACCUCAAUAUGUUUCCUAAUGUCCUAUUGAAACGUUCGGUACCACCAUUCCCCAUCGGGUGGUAAGGAGUGGUUCUAGACUUGUCGAUGCCAGCCAGUUCAAGAAGCUCAGCAAUCAGCUCACUCUCAAAGGUAGCCCCUGGUCAGAAUGGAUGCGUUGGGGAAAUCCAUAGACACAGAAAAAAAACAUCCCACAGUUUCUUAGCCACUCUUUUCACCAUCUGGUCCUGACCCGGAAACGCAUGCGCUAGCUUUGUGAAGUGAUCCGUGAGCACCAAAACAUCCAAAGAUUUGUUGGUCCGAUCCUCAGCAGACCAGAAGUUGAUGCAUACAAGCUCCUACGGGGCUGUGGUUUUAAUACUCUCCAAAGUGGCUCUCGCUGCAGGUUCCGGAGUUUUGCUGAGGAUACACCUGGGACAUUUCCUCACAUAAUCCCGCACAUCACGCUCCAUAUUGAGCCAGAAAAUGGGUGGGCUAAAUGGGCUAAAGACAAAGUGCGCGGCUGCCCUUGAUGGCCAGGUUAUGACACUCUAGCAAUGACAGGGUCUUUGUGCUGAUGUUCUUGCAAGUCUGUCAGUGAAAGGGAAUGAAACACUUCUUCAUCACCACUGAUUAAAGAGGUCAGAUGUUUAGCAAAUUAUGUUGCUCUACAUUCAGUUCCUGUUUCCCAUUCAUCACAGGAGGACAGAAUGGAAGACACGUUGCCAGCAGACAUUGAUGUAUCCAGCCCAACAUCAAGUGGACCUGAUCCUAAUUUUUGUGGUUGGCAGGUAAGUCGGAACACCUCUUGCACAUUUCCAUCUUCCACACUGCGUACUUGUCCCAACAGUUCAGAAUAAGGAUCUGACAAAAGCCGUUGACUCACUGGCCUGACAAACUAACCCCUACUGAAUGCAUCCACCACCACGUUGAGUUUUCCAGGAAUGUAUUUGAUCUCAAAAGAAUAUGGAGCAAGUUUCGAUAUCCAACGCUGCUUGCAUGCAUACAAUUUUGGCUUGGUCAUAAUAUAUGUUAGCGGAUUAUUAUCCGUCCACACAGUAAACUCAUGGCCUUUAAGCCAGUGACUGAACUUUGUCAGACACUGCCCACUUAAGAGCCAAGAAUUCCAAUCUGUGCGCAGGAUAUUUAGAUUGGCUGUGGCUCAAAGCCUUACUAGCAAAUGCUAUUGGUCUAGCCUUGUCCUCACCAGCAGGGAUCUGAGAGAGUACUGCACCUAGGCCAUCUAAUGAAGCGUCAGUACAAAGAAGAAAAGGACGCUCAAAAUCUGGAUGGGCCAGUAUCACACUAUCAAGAAGGGCCCUUUUUAACUCCUCAAAGGCCACAUCACAGCCUGGGGUCCAGUCCUGGGGCUUCGACUCCCGAAAAGUGCACGUUCUCUUGUGACAACCAGCAGCUUUCACUGAGCGUUUCUGGCCAGCUGUUAAGCCAAAUAAGGGUCUAGCAACACGUGAACAACCUGGAAUGAAGGCUUGGUAGUACAGGACCAUGCCAAGAAACGAUCUGAUUUUUUUUUUGUGAAGGUGUGAUCCUGUCUUCCUUCAUUAGAUCCUCCUUUUUGAAAGCAGAGAUGACUUUCACCUUCUCCUCAUCAACUGAGACACCAGAACCAUCUAUCACAUGGCACAGAAACUUUACGGAUUUUCUUAGAAAGUGACACUUUUUAGGUGCUAGCUUCAGUUUGCUGGUUCUCAAUCGAGAAAACACAAUCUCCAAACGUGUUAAUGCCUCCUGUUCAGAAGGUGCAAAAACCAAUAAGUCAUCAAGAUUGCAGAGAAGACUAGAAAAGUUAAGGUCACCAAAAAUGCUGAGCAUCAUAUGCAUGAAAGAUGCAGGGCUAUUGCAAAGGCCUUGAGGAAGAUGAUUAUACUCAUACAAGCCCAUUGGCGUUGUGAAGGCAGUGUAUCGUUGGUCAGACUCAUGGAACGGGAUGUUGUAAAAUCCUGAAGUUAAGUCCAUGGUGCUGAAAAGCACAUUACCUCCCAAGGCUGUGAGGUGGUCAGCUUGAUGGGGUAGAUCUUUGGUGGUUUUAGCAUUGAGCCAGCGAAAAUCAGUGCAGACCCUCAGAUUACCAUCUUUUAUCCAGACCAUCACUAAAGGUGAUGCAUACUCACUCACAGAUUUGCUGAUAAUGCCUUUCUCUUCCAUCUCAGACAACACCUCUCUCAAUUUUUGGUAGUGGGCAGGAGGGAUACAGCGAUAAGGCAGUCGGAAUGGGCACUCAUCGUAAAGGUGGAUCCUGUGCACAAAAUCCUUUGCCUCUCCACAAUCCAACUUAUCCUUGGAGAAAACAUCAUGGUAGGACACGAUAAGAUUCGCCAAAUUUCCUCUUCCACACCUCAGAAACCUCACAUCCAUCCCUGUCAAUAUCCUUCAGACCAUAGUCUCUCAGCAAUCGUUCUGGAUCAGAGGAUGAAGCAGUUUCGAAGGGGUCCGAAUCAGGAACGUGACAAUGGGUUCUAAUUAAACCCUGCAUAACAGUGAGAUUCUCCACAGCUAGACAGGAAGAAACGUCGUCCAGUUUAGUGUUACGGCGAAGAGUCACUGAUGUUGGAUUUGGGUUUAGUAUUUUCAUCAGCACCCAACAAUUGCCGCACAUUGGUGUUACUACACGUCCGACAAGGAUGUUUCUAGGCGCCGAACGUGCAGCAGUUAUUGGUGUAAUGGAUAUUUUCUAUACCUGUUACACCAAUAAUCAGUUGUAGUCAUAGCACCACCUACUGGCAACAGGAAGUGACAUGUUUUAUACUGUGAUGCACUCCUACCAACAUAUUAAAAUAUGCCAGCGAGUGGCAAAUAUUCUAGAAACAUGCUAGAAACAUGUUAGAACAUGCUAGUAACACUUGGCGAAGUGCUAAAGCACGCUAUUAAUGCCACGAAACAGGAAGUUGUUAUAAUGCAAACAUACAAUGUUCAAUCUAUACCAAACUUAUUAUAAACAUAUUUUAUAAGAAUCUGGGCUUGAGGCUAUCUACAUGCAAAUGUUCAGUUAUAGUCAUCGCGCCACCUGCUGGCAACAGAAAGUGACAUGUUUUAAACUAAUGUACUCCUAGUAAAUUCUAAACAUGCUAGCAACAUGCUAGAAACAUGUUAAAACAUACUAGCAACACUUACCUAAGUGCUAAAGCACGCUAUUACUGCUAUUCAAUUCAAUUCAGUUUUUAUUUACAGAAACAUAUAAACAUAGGAUACAUAUUUUAAGUGUGUGAAUUUAUCCCUAUUGAGCAAGUCCCAAGGUCAUAUUAGCAGCCGUAGUCCGAGCAUCCACAGCGAGAAUGUCAAUGUGGAAUUGAGGUCCAAAACCAUUUCCAUGGUACUUCAAGUGGUACCAUCCUAAGCAAUCUCCAGGCUGUAGCCUCCAGUUGAUGAGCGCUCCAUCCAGAGGUAGGGCAUCAGAAUGGAUCAGGCAGGUCCAGAGAGCAGAAAGGGUCAGGAUCACUGGCAUCUCUGUAAAAGCAUGUGUGGCUCGACAGAAGGAGAGAGGGAGAGAUUAUUAGGUAUGCUUACUAUCCUGUGAUGGGUAAGACCGUGUACUUUGCCUAAAAGAAUGUAAGAUAUUAUAUUUCUUAUCAAUAUUUCUGAGAUGAAAGAAGGCUAUCCUAGUAAUAUUAUCUACAUGAGCGUCAAAUGAAAGACUGGAGUCAAUAAUCACACCAAGGUCUUUUACUGCUGCACAUGAUGAAACAGUGUUACUGUGUAAUCAGAAAGCUUACUUCUAGCUACAUGUGGUCCUAGCACAAGUACUUCUGGUACUUGUCAGAAUUAAGUAAAAAUUAUUAAACAGUAAGUUGUUACAACUCCAGAAUACAAUGCCUAAACUAUGUUUAAUAAGGGUCCUGGCCUGAGCAGACCUACAUGCAAAUAUUCAGUUACAGUCAUCAGAAAAUAUUCAGAAAGUUGCCAUGAACAGCUACUAAAUGCAAAUUCAAUGGUUGGAAUCAACUCCAGACCAUUUAGCUCCUUAAUAUGCCAUGAAAUAACAAGGAAGCAGGCCUCACCUGGCCAUGAAACUGCUUAGCAGUCAAUUGUCCAUUUACAGUACUUUUAAGCCUGUGAAAAUGGAGGGACUUACUGAAAAUGGAGGGGCUUUUCAAAAAAUGUCUGUAAUUCCUAAAUGGUUAAUACAGUAUUUUUGUUAAACCCCUUUAAUUAAAGCUGAAAGUCGUUCAUUCAAUCACAUAUUGAUUGCUUAGUUUCAAAUCUAUUGUGGUGGUGUACAGAGGCAAAAUGAUGAAUAUUGUGUCACUGUGUAAAUACUUAUGGACCUAAUGUAUGUCUUAUACCUUCACAAGUCUUGAUUUUAUGUUAAUAAGACUGUCCUAAUGUCAUUCAAGUGGCUAUUAUUAUUAUUCUAAGGGGCCAUGUUUGAUUACAUAUUAAACAUUUUAAAAAAGCAAAUACAGAUCUAUAUUCUAACAUUAUGAAAUAAUAUCCUAAAUAGGACUCCCAUAAUAAGAUACAAUGUCUGGGUUUAUGAUUCAGGAACAUCAAAGGUUUCUAAAUAUUCUACUUUAGGGUCAAUGACUAAGAACAGUGCUGACCUAGUCCCAUCUUUUUCAACAAACAACUCUCACCAACACAAAAUUACCCCUUAUUAUCUUUGAGAUCUCCUCCCACACACUAGUGCUGACACAAUGACUUCUAAUUGAAGCAGAUGGCUCUUAUGCAAACUUAUAGUCCCGGAUUCCGGCAACCCACUUCGAUCACCUGCCUUUUUUUCGCAGGAAUCAGUCGACUUCUGAGAAGAAUGUUUCAUAUUAUGAUAAUAUGCAAUCCUGCCAAAAAAAGCAUGCAGCAUGAAUGCUUGAUUGAAAUAAAAAAUGUAAAAAGCAGAGCAUAUCCAGCAGCCAUCACUGUGCAUUUUCCUUAUUGUGCUUCUUUUUAUCUGAAUGGAUGAAGGAUUUUAGUGUGUUUUAAGUGUUUGCCCCUGACACGUGCCCUGCUCGCCGUGUCAAAACAAUGGCCUCGCUGUUCGUCAAAUUGCUGUUACCAUAGCAGCAGGAAUUAUGGAAAGAAAAGUAGAAAAGCAUCUUAAAAUAAAUUCUGGAGGAGCCAGGAGGAGUCUGCGCUUGACUCUCAGGGGACCUGGACAUGCUAUGUGGAUAGAAUUUGCACACAGGGAGCAGAGACGGCUUAUGAAAAUUGGACUCCUGGCUGUGCUUUGAGUGUAUGGCAAAGACUGACUAUAAAUAAUGAGCAUUUAUUUUGUGCAGAUGAGUAUAAAAGAGAUUUA